rnacentral:misc_RNA from 1 species
AAGUCGUAACAAGGUUUCCGUAGGUGAACCUGCGGAAGGAUCAUUACUGCAGAAUGGGGGUCCUUCGGGGCCGAUCCUCCAACCCAAUCGGUCUUACCGGUCCUUGUUGCUUCGGCGGCGGCCGACGUCUCGGUAUGACCCUAGAGAACUGGGACAUUUUCGUAAGAUCCGAUUUCCGGACAUUCCCUUUUUCAACCCAUGGGGGCUUUCAGAAGGGUUGCCCGCCUGGGGGGAUUUAACGGACCGAUCAAAGCUCUUUGAACGAAACCCCGGACUUCUUAAACGAUUAUUUGAUUUUUAAUUAAAAUCGUUCAAAAAU